AGGAUCCUCAGACUAUGAGGUGGUUGCUGCAUUGCCAGGAAAGAGAGCAAAUGGAAUAGAAAGGCAAAUGCAGUAAAGUGAUAGCUCCUAAUAUCAAAAGGAUCUUGUCAUUCAAAAGAGAUGCCCUUCACUGGGUUUAUCCAAACACCUCAGCUAUAGCAGAAAUUGGGGGGACGUAGGGUGGGGAGACUUAGCAUUAGCUUUCCACAAGAUAAAAGAGAAGGAGGGAGGAAGUGAGAGGGAGAGGGAGAGAUAAUGGGUUUGAUUGCUGACAUCUCUUGCUAUACAACACUCUUUACUCAUUUGGAAGAAAUUGCCUAACAUUUUGACUUUGCGAUUUCCAUUGAACAUACUGUUAUGAGACAGUGACCUACACCUACUUAUUAUAUUUCCUUCUACUCACUCUGCAGUCUGGGCACCAGUCAAGUUAGACUUUCUUCUGUCUCUCGAACAUUUCUGUACUUUUUUACCUCAGCAUCUGUGUCUUGCUUUUCCUUCUGCCUGCAAACCUAUUUUCUCUUCUUUCUCCCUUCCCUAAGGUAAGUCUUCCCCAUUUAGCAGUCUCAAUUUAAACAUCAUAUCUUCAGAAGAUUCUUACAAUGUCCAGACACAAAGAAAUCACUGGGACACAUGAAAUGAGACGCUGAAAUCCCAUCCCCAGUGCCCUGGAAUCACACUUGGUGUGCCACAGACAGCCACUCGGAAACAUGGCGGCUCUUGGACGGGCUACUGCUUGCUCUCAUGAUUACCCUAACAUACUUCCUCUGAAAAUAACCUGUGAAACAAUGUUUGAGACUGGAAUAGGGACAUAUGCAUUCUCUGGAGAGUGGAGAAACCACCUGAGAUCUUGUGAUUGGAAAGAAACUUUUGUUGGAAAAUAGAAAUGCUAAUUUGCAUUCAAAGUGAAUCAUGCUGCAAACAGAGGAAGCAAUAUGUGGACAGAAGCUGCAUCCAUAUUGCCAUUUCUCCUCCAGAGGUUUUCUCCUAAUGCUCAUUAAUUUAUGUCAUCUAUUGUCUUCAGAUAUUGAAAAGGGCUCUCCAGCACUUGAAUGUGACUAUAUUAAGAAAUUUACCAAGAAGAUCAGGAAUAAUUCAGACACUGCUGAGACUUCCUGUUAACAUGGAAGACUGGAGAAGGGGAGAAGAGGUCCCUCCAAGAGGAACUCACAGCUCGGGGAGAAAACCUAGCAUACAGAUAUUCAAGAUGGGAUAUGGAGAGGCAACUGCUCAGGAGGGCAGGGCUUUGAACAACUUCCAGUAACUGUUAAAAACUGUCUCUCAAAAUGUGGCCCUCUUGCAAUGCCCUUUUAAAAAAAAUCAUCUCUAGAUGAAUUUUAUGCAUGUAAAAGCUUGAUAGACAGUGAAUCUGUGGGUCUUGCUGUAGAAUUUUCUACUGACCUCUCUGUCAAGAGAGAUUUGAAAUAAUAAUACAAGGGUCUUGGGAGGGUUUUGUACUUACCUGAAAAACAGCUUCUCAAAGUCCAUUUGUACAAAAGCAGAGAUCUUUUAUUAUUUUGAAGUUGUUGAACUUAGAAGAUCAAGAAUUCCCUAAAUUAUAUAUAAAUAUGGAGUGCUUGUGUAUUUUUCUAAGUGAGAGAUCUUUAGAUUUCAUCAGAUUUUCAAAUGGCUCACUAUUUCCCUUUCAAAUCUAAGAAUCACUGGACUAAAGAAAUUGAGCUCAUCUAAUUGCAGCUGAUUAAUUCUAUUGGAGACUUCAACCACCAUGGUCAGGAAAGCAGGUCAUUUUCUUGGUAACAAGAAAAAUUAGUCGUUAAAAUGUUUGCCUACCUUUUCAACCAUAAGUUUUUCAUCUUUUAAAUUAUUACUUUCCUCUUAAAGAAAAUGCUAUGUACAUUCAUGCACAUUCAUCAGCAAACUAAUAUGUGAAUUCUGGUUCUAAAUAUUCCAUCAACUAAAUGCAAAAUCCAUAUCAGGAAUGCAAAAUGGCUAAACUUUGACCACAAAGUAUGCCUGGUAUUUCAUAUCUAUCACCUGUCCAUCACAGCUUCUUUUUCUAUAGAAAGGAAGAGCCUAUGAAGCCACAAUCACACACAGUAUUCUUGGGCAAUAUCUCACUGAUAAUGUAGUUCUACUUCAUUGUAUAGGUGGUCUUUGCACAAGGAGGUCAGCUGUAACAAGAGAAAGAAGGUAAGAGAAAGUGACUAAGGUAGAUUCCUUUUCAUGCCUCUGUGAUUUGGAGUUAGUGACAAAAGUCUGUGUUUAUCUCCUGGUUAAUAAUAUUGUAUCAAGAAAGAAAGCCUCUAGUACUAAAAAAAGAAACAAAAGGAAGGAAACGGGGCGGAGGAUAAAGAAGAGAGGCAGAGGGAAGGGAAAGGAAGUAAAGGGAAGGGAAGAAAAUAUCUAUAAUGUGAAUCUGACAAAAGACAAAGAUUUUCAGUUAAUCUAUGCCUAACAUGAAAAUGUGAGGUUGGAAACAAAUAUUCUUGGACUAUAGAGUGUCAAAAUUCAUUUAGUUAUGGCCUAAUAGUAACAGGCAGAAAUGAAGUACACAAUUCUCUUUAAAUACAGAUGGGAUAAAGCAUCAUGCUCAACAAACCUGCCUCAGAAAGAAAUCCUAGGCCCAGGUUACUCGCAAAGAUGCCAAACUACUAACACUAGUAUUUUUGCUUCUGUUUGACACUAUCUUGCUCAUAUUUUUAUUGUCUGGCAGUCUCUGACACAGAAAAUAUUUAAUAAAUAUUGUUUAAUAGAUGCAUGAAUGAAAGAUAAUAAACUAAAAGAUGCAUUAGAGAUUCCAGUUAUAUUAAUUAAAAUACACAUAAGAUCUAUAUGAAAAAAUUGUCAAUGUCCCAAUGCUUUAUAUUUAGUUCACAGAUAUGAGAAUGACAUGUUCUGUUCCACAGAAUACUUUGGGGAUCCAGUCUAGGAGAAGUUCUGGAAUCUUCUGGUAACAUCUAGAUAAGAGGAAGAAAAAAGAGAGCAUUAAAAAAAACUUGAGACACACAUAUUGGUGAAGCAUUCCAUAUUUUAAAAAAUCAAAAAAAAAUUACUUGAGAGCUUUGAAUGGCCCAGGCCUGGCCAUGGCAGGCAUAACUUGCACCUAUAUUUUGUUAGAUCUCCAUCUUAUGCCCCUACUUUACCAAGGAGACUAGUACAAGUGCCCUGGUUGUGGACAGAGGAAGAAAAAAUAACAAUUGAUUAUAUCAGAGUUAGAGACAAGUCUAUGAGAACUUAUAUAAAUGAUACCCACCAAAUCAUAGCCAGCUCUAAGGUGGCUUACACACAUUGUGGUCUCUUCAGUGGAUUUGUUUUUCACUGCCUGAGUAACAAAAGCAAGCUAGUGUAAUCUUAAUCAAGUGAAAGGACCACUAAUCUAAAAGAACAAGAGGGACUCUCCCAAAAUUUGUUACGAUUCUUGGCAUUUUCAACUGCUUGAUUAACUCUUUGUUUUUAGUCCUCUCUUAGUGAGAUUGCCCUUGUAGCUCCUCCUAAAGUUUCACAGACAUUCAUUCUAACACAAGCCCCCAGAAGUCUGCUCUCCUGCCCAUAAGUAUUAAUUAAGCAAUGGACCCUCUUAUUCAGAGGGCUUGACAGGCACAAUAUAUGAAAAGCAAAGUGAACUAAUGGAGUUAGUGUUUCAAUCUCUUAAGUAUUCACCUCUUUGACCCUUUGGGAACAUUUCUUAAUGAGAUUAUGAGCUGUACAUACCAAUAAGAUUGGGAUUUAUCCAAUUAUCUCUUAAAUCUUUCAUUAGCAAACUGCCUUUUCUGCAAUUAAAUGCGAUAACCAUUUAGGUAAGAAGAGUUUUCAUUGUUUACUUGUUUUUUCUUUUAAGUGGGUCAUAAUAAUAUGUCUGUGUUCACCAUAUUUAUUAUUUGUUAUAACCAAGGUUUUUUAUGUUUAAAUAAGAUAUUAAAAUUCACUUUUGAAUUAAUUCUAAAGUAUUUCCUAUUUGCUCCUGUCUUCCUCCUCCUAUUGUUUCUUACCUUUCUCCUGUGUUUUUCUACUACUGCAGUGAAUAAAAUAGGUUCCCACUCUCAAUACUUGUUAACAAACCUAAAGACAUGAUCUUUCUUUAAUUUAAGGAAGAACCACUUCUGGAAACCCACAUACAUAGGAUCCUAAUCCUGUUCUCAAUGUUGGGAGGUGGGUAGGGAACCUAACUUGAGUGAUAUUCAUAUGUUUGAGACAAUGCUUGUCAACUUUGCUCAGUGGGAGGUGAACUAAUAUAUUAGUAUGUAGUGUCAAGACACAUGUUAUGAUUAAAGAGUUUUGAUGAAUAA